UGGGGAAUAUUGGGCAAUGGGCGCAAGCCUGACCCAGCAACGCCGCGUGAAGGAAGAAGGCCCUCGGGUUGUAAACUUCUUUUGUCAGGGACGAAGCAAGUGACGGUACCUGACGAAUAAGCCACGGCUAACUACGUGCCAGCAGCCGCGGUAAUACGUAGGUGGCAAGCGUUAUCCGGAUUUACUGGGUGUAAAGGGCGUGUAGGCGGGAUUGCAAGUCAGAUGUGAAAACCACGGGCUCAACCUGUGGCCUGCAUUUGAAACUGCAGUUCUUGAGUACUGGAGAGGCAGACGGAAUUCCUAGUGUAGCGGUGAAAUGCGUAGAUAUUAGGAGGAACACCAGUGGCGAAGGCGGUCUGCUGGACAGCAACUGACGCUGAGGCGCGAAAGCGUGGGGAGCAAACA
rnacentral:rRNA from 1 species